CAUAAGUCCUCAUAUUAUUUACUAACGAUUAGUAAAUACACCAUGCAACUUUUACACAUAAAUACCUCUAAUUUACAACAAUUGCAAAUUAGUUCUUUUACUAAUAAAUUAGUAAACUUUAGUAUUUAACUAUAUUAUAAUUGUAAUUAAUCCAUCCGAUAAACUUCUUUUAUCGUCUCCUAAAUAUCGAUCAUGCGCGAUUUCUUAUGUGUGUGACCUAAUAGGUUCAAUUCUGUCUGGUAGUGAGAUAUGAUGAGAUCUCCAUCUCCAUCAUCAUCGAAACUCUUUUCGAUGGCUCAAACUCUUUUGAUUCCACCCUUAUAGAAUAAUUAAUUAUCUAUAAUUAUUUCUAUUGGUUCCCACAAUCCACCAGUGACGCCUAGCAGCAUGUAGUGACAAUCCAGUCAGAAGUGAAUAUCGGACUGAACCUCUAGGUGCAGUUACCGUACAAUACAAUCCUUCUAUCGCAUAGUUCCAACUGAGUGGAGGUCAUGGAAUAUUCGUCAAACCCCAUCACCCGUCAUAUGUCAAACUUGAUAGGACAAAAGCUGUAAUAUACCAAAAAUUCGGAAAACAAAUAUCGAACUUUAGUCAAAUUGACCAAAGUGCGAGGAUGGUACACUUCGGAAAGUUUGAAGGUGUUAAAAUGAAUAAAAGUGCGUUAUGGGAGGUUUUCGAGAGCUUGAGAAUCAAAAAUCUGCAAACUGCAGUUUUGAGCUCUCGGAGACCGGUCCCUGGUGGGAGAGACCGGUCCCCGAACGCGUGAGAAAUAAGACAGCCGAAAAAUCGGCUAAGUCCUGAGAAACCAGCUCUCGGGAACCGGUCCCUGCCUGAGAGACCGGUCCCCGAGAGACCGGUCCCCCAAAGAGAGACCGGAUGCAUCGCAGGAAGCCCUGCGCAGCAGCAGGGAGGACCUUCGGGAACCGGUCCCUGGUCGGGGAGACCGGUCCCCGCCUGCGCGAACAGCCCAGUCCAGGCUGUGUGAAAGGACAAAAGUUGAGGGGUUUAGCUGCAACUUGGCAACCCAUAGAGAUAUGUAUGGGGACAAAUAAGACAUUUCUCUCAUUCUCACCCUCUCAAUCCCUCUCUUCUCUCUUUCUCUCUCUAGAAGACAAGAAGAGGAAGAAGAAGACAAAGGGAAAGAAGGAGAAGAAGGUGGAGAACAAGAAGAAGAGUUGAAGCAACUCUCUCCCCUCCUUCUCUAGCUUGGAAAAGGAAGGCUUACAAGGUAAGCCUUGAACCCUAUCAUGGUAGAACCUAAUCUAGGGUUUAGAUUAAGCUACAAAUGGUUUUUGUAGAGCUUUUUGAGUAUUUGAAGCCUUCCUUUUGCUUCUUUUGAGAUCAAGACCAUGGCAUGAGUGUUGGAGGUGAAGCUUGAAGGAGAGCUUCAUCACCUCUCAUGGUGAAAUCCAAACUAGGGUUUGGAGUGAGCUAGGAAUGGUCUAGAUGGACUUCUUAGAGUAGAAUGAAGCUACUUUUGCUUCCCAAUGAGAUCAAACCCUAGGUUUGAUGGUGCUAUGGAGCUAGGGCACCCAAAUUAGGGUUUUUGCUUGCGAGGGUUCUAAAGUGCAAUUGACCCUCUAGAAACCUAAUUGGGGGUAUUUCCGACGCGUUGAUGCACUCGGAUUAACGUUACGAAAAGCCAAUGUAAAGAUAUGGAAAAAAUGGCCUAAGUUGGCUUCGUUUUGCCGCAGGUGAAGAGCGAGGAGACUAAAAAUCCCAAGAAAAUCGUCGGAGCACCUUUGAGAACCUACAAGGUGGGUGGUGCUUUCCAAACUCAUUGAACUUCCUUCUAUGCCUAAUGUGUCAUUCAAUUGAGCAUAUGUAUAUACAUUGUUGCAUGCAUUUUACGGUAAAGCAAUGAUAAAAAUGGGAUGUUGCAUGAUUGUGAGUACAACUUGCAUAAUGUGAUGGUUAAGAACUUUAUGAAUGUCAAAGACCCUAUAUGUAUGCAUGAGAGAAAAUGUGAGUACCUAAGUGAGGCAAAAGAACAGAGUGACACUGUGACAUAGAUCGAGUGGCAUUCGGUAAUGUAAAGUAAAGUGACACUAGAGUUAGUGUGAGACAAAGAAUCAAAGUGAUAUAAAGAAUGAUGACAAUGACUAAAGCUAAAGCAAAGUGGGACAUAAAGAACGUGCAAAGAGUUAAGAACAUGAAUGCUAGAGAUAGCCAAAAGUAAAGAAAUGUAAAAAACAAUGAUUGCUAGAGUUAGCAACGUAAAGUGCUGAAAAGAACACUAGAGUUAGUGUAAUGACAAGAUUGAACUUAUAAUCCUUAGAGUUAAGGAUUCGAUCAUACUUGCUAUGAGUUCCGUGCUCGAGGGCGGUCGCUCCCCCUCGGGCGAUGCGCUCCGGAGUUUUUGCAUCACGGGUUGGAGUAAACCCGAGGACGGUCCUAGCGGGUGAGUUCCUGCGAUGAUGGACUUAAUGUGAAGCAAGGUAAUGUGGCGAAACCCCCGAGUUAGCCUUGAGAUUAAAGAACAAAGAGUAAAGAACAAAGAGUAAAGAACCAAGAAUAAAGAAUAAAGAGUAAAGUCAAAGAACGAAAGAACUUGCAUAAUCUACAUAUAGUUAAUGUUGAGUAUACUUCUUGCUUAUUGUUCAGGCAUAUUAGUAUCAUGUUAUAGAUUGGUUACUAUGCAGCUUAUCCUUUCUAUUAUGCCAGAGUUAGUCUUAGUGGGAAAGUCGGUGAUGUUGGGGCCGAACCCACUGGGAACUUUGUUGUAGUUCUCACCCCACUAUUCCAC
rnacentral:lncRNA from 1 species